CGGAUUCAAAAAUGAAGCACUUGGCGCGGCCCGAUUUCCACCGCGCCCCCAGUAGCUUCAUAAAACACGUCUUAGUUUGUAUUUUGAUAGGGACUAAUUCACGGGAGUGGAAGGAUGCGUCGCUGCGCUCUUGAGUGGUGACCCCAUGCGAGUAAUUACGUAACUUUUUUGGAAGAGAGUUAGUAGAGAUAGGAAAAAAUAGCAAAUUGUGCAAUGGUUGGAAGAUGCUUCUGAUGAAGAAGAAGUUGGAGGGUCGAGUUCUGAGCCAGAGUUAGAUGAAAUAACAAAAAGUGAUCAUGAUAGCGCUAAUGAGAUCGAGUAAUCCUCCGCACAAUCAAGUGAAUCGAAAAUGCAAGAAAUGUACAAGAUUUGUGUGCAAUGAUCACUCUGAAAUAUACUGUCAACAAC